CCUACGGGUGGCUGCAGUGGGGGAUAUUGCACAAUGGGCGCAAGCCUGAUGCAGCCAUGCCGCGUGUGUGAAGAAGGCCUUCGGGUUGUAAAGCACUUUCAGCGGGGAGGAAGGCGGUGAGGUUAAUAACCUCAUCGAUUGACGUUACCCGCAGAAGAAGCACCGGCUAACUCCGUGCCAGCAGCCGCGGUAAUACGGAGGGUGCAAGCGUUAAUCGGAAUUACUGGGCGUAAAGCGCACGCAGGCGGUCUGUCAAGUCGGAUGUGAAAUCCCCGGGCUCAACCUGGGAACUGCAUUCGAAACUGGCAGGCUAGAGUCUUGUAGAGGGGGGUAGAAUUCCAGGUGUAGCGGUGAAAUGCGUAGAGAUCUGGAGGAAUACCGGUGGCGAAGGCGGCCCCCUGGACAAAGACUGACGCUCAGGUGCGAAAGCGUGGGGAGCAAACAGGAUUAGAUACCCGGGUAGUC
rnacentral:rRNA from 1 species